rnacentral:rRNA from 1 species
CUACGGGUUGCUCCAGUCGAGAAUCUUCCGCAAUGGGCGCAAGCCUGACGGAGCAAUGCCGCGUGAGUGAUGAAGGCCUUCGGGUUGUAAAACUCUGUCAGAGGGGACGAAAUUUGACGGUACCCUCAGAGGAAGCCACGGCUAACUACGUGCCAGCAGCCGCGGUAAUACGUAGGUGGCGAGCGUUAUUCGGAUUUACUGGGCGUAAAGGGUUCGUAGGGGGUUUGCCAAGUCUGAUGUGAAAUUCCGCGGCUCAACCGCGGACGUGCAUUGGAUACUGUCGAACUAGAGUUCCUGAUGGGAAAGCGGAAUUCCAGGUGUAGCGGUGGAAUGCGUAGAUAUCUGGAAGAACACCGGUGGCGAAGGCGGCUUUCUGGCAGGAUACUGACCCUCAUGGACGAAAGCGUGGGUAGCGAACAGGAUUAGAUACCCCCGUAGUC